GCUUUACAAGCCCUAUAAAUAAAAGUUUGAAGGGUGAUAAUUAUUGUGGUCAUCAGUACAUUUAGAUUACGAGUUUAAUUUUUAUAUACUAAUAGUGAAAAAAGAUCAUUUUUAAUCCCUUGAGUGAAGGAUUGUGUUUUUUAGAUUCGUCUCGCAUAUGAGUUUAUUUAAUCAACAAUAAAAAUGAAAAUACCCCACGAGCAACAUCAACACUGAUAUUCUUAAUUAUCUACUAGCUUGUGGGGUCUUAAGAAAUAACCACCAUCGUUAAUCUGGUUGCCUAAAGAAUAAGCAGUUAUUUAUUUCUUAAUGACGUGACAGAGUGCAUAGUCAGCAACUCAGCAUAUAUAACCAAUCACAAACCAAACAUCAUUGUUUUGACCUUAUUUUCAUUUACAUUUGGGGCAAUCAAACUUGUUGCUGGAUUAAUUCUCAAAAAGAAAAUGAUUGAAAAAAAUAAAACAAUGAGGAGAAAUGAGUCGAUUUGAAGGGUUCCAAAAUUGAAAUAUUACCUCUGUUAAAAAGAGAAACUAAAGAAAGAAAUGCGCAGUUACAAUGAUUAGUGAAGAAUAAUCCUCUUUCUGUUUCCAAAAGCAAUCAAAAUCAAUUUUAUUUCAGUUAUUCCCUAAAAGACAUCGACUUUAUUUUCCCAUUAAAAAGCAAAACCAUAAAUUAAGUAUUAUUUUCGACUGCAAAAAGCAGAGGCCUUAGAUAAAAGCAAGAGAAAAGAAUCAACUGAAAACAUCAAAGUGCCGAAGAAAUAAAUUGAAAUUGCAUAACUUGGGCUAGACUUCGGUUUUUCGUUUCCCUGGGAUGUUUAAUUAAUUACAACUCAAUCAUAAACUAGUUUGAAUAUACUGUAUCAAUCUUUAUAUCCAUUUUGUUUCUUUCCGUUAAAUAGAUACAUGAACAUCAGAGGCGGAUCUAGAAUUUUAAAUGUAUGGGUUCCUAAAAAAACUCAAGUUAAUAUAUAAUAAUAACUGAAUUAUCGAACUGAUUUUCAAGCUAAAUAUUCUUAUACAUUUAAUGAAUUUUUCAAUGCAAAUACAGGAUCUAGACAAAAGCUACUGGGUUCACGGGAACCCGUAGUUAUUGUGCUGGAUCCGCCCCUGAUGAGCAUGACAACAUAUGCGAAUUCAAAAUUUAAACUAUAUUCUUAGAAUUAAACUCGUUAUAUCUUUAAAAUUAUGCAUUCAUAUCUACAAUUUGUUAGUAAAUUUUUACACAUAAGUUUAUAUUUCACGUCGAAAUUUUUAGAUUCAGAUGAAUCCGAUACGGAAAGGCGGGAUCCGUCCCUAAUGACAGAAAUUAUAAAGUGUGUGCAUGGAGGAUAAUAGGAGAGGAAUGAGAACUGACCAUUUUUACGAAUGCGGAGACGUCUAGAAACUUUGGUCCAAACUUUGCGCAUAGGAACCAUCAUUUUGUCCAACAACUCCAUCACCAUUUAUUCUGAUGAUUAUUUGAACAAAACAAAUUCCAAACCAAGUUCCAAACGUUUAGCUCACGAAACAAAUGAAGCAAGAUUUUCCUUUUCCUUAAUAGAAUUUGUGUAUGUGGGAAUCUGAAAGGAGAAACAGAGAUCGGAAAAAACAAAGCAAAAUACAAACCGAACUCUCUCUCUUCUCUCUAUUUUUCUCAAGAAGAGAAGGAGAUGGAGCGGGAUGUUUGUUGCAGAAAUAAGUAAAUAACGUUUGGUGGUUAUAAGUAGAAAACAACAUUUGACACGUGGCAGGUCCGAGCCGGUUCACAACCUAUGACAAUGACCGUUCUCUG
rnacentral:lncRNA from 1 species